UGAACUAUAAUAAUCACAAUCGUACGAACACUAAUAAUUACAAUCGUCAGAAUUAUAAUAACCUAAAUCAUACAAACUCUUAUAACUACAACCACACGAAUCAUGAUUAUAAUUGUGUUAACCUUAAUUACAAUUUUGCUAACGCUGGUUAUAAUUAUGCAAACACUAAUUACCGAAUUCGUACAAACCCUAACAACAACAAUCAUACUAAUUACAAAAGACAGUGCUAUCGUAAUUCUCCCAAAACGAAUGAUAGUUUUAACAAAACACAUGAAAAAAUGAAACAAAGUAAAGUAUCUAAGAAAAAUAUUCAUUAUCAUAAUUAUUGUGGUUAUAAUAAAGUAUCACAUAUAAGGGAAAAUAGUUCGUUAAGUAGUAAUAAUGUUCGAGAUUGUAAAAAGCCUAAAGUUAUUAGCAUACAUAGUAAUGAUACAUAUAACGAUACACAUAAUAAUACACAUAAUAAUACACAUAAUAAUACACAUAAUAAUACACAUAAUAAUACACAUAACAAUAUAUAUAACAAUACACAUAACAAUAUACAUAACAACACACAUAACAAUAUACAUAACAAUACACAUAACAAUAUACAUAAUGUGCAUCAUCAUAAUAAUAAUAAUAAUAAUAAGCAUAUUGGUAUGAAUAAUAUAUAUGGUAAACGUAUAAGAAAUGAAACAGGUAGCAGUAACGAUAGUGUGGUUAGUAGUAAUAGUAGUAACGGCAGUAGCAAUUGUAGUGAUAAUAUGAAUUAUAGUAGCCAGCACAUAAGUAAACAUAAUACAAAUAGUGAUGGAUAUACCGUUAGUUACGAUUCAUCAGUUGAAUAUACAUUUGAUAAUGUAUCGAACAAGUAUGGCAUUGGUGAUGAUCGCUAUAAUAUGGAUAUUACUAGUAAAGGUAUUAAUAAUAGUGUUAUUAGUCAAGGGGAUUGUAUUGAGGCAAUAAAUGCAAGACAUAUUAAUUUAUGUACUGAAAAUGAUGAGAGUACUAUGACUACUACUAAUGGUAUUAGUGGUGUUGGUACUAGUACUGCAGUUAGUGGUACUACUACUAAUAAUAUGGAUUUUUUACAAUACAAUUUUAAUAAUUCACAUAUGGAAAAAAAAAAGAUAUGUCGUACAUUAAAACAAAAAAUGAUGUUAGGAACCAAUUUCACAUUCGAAUCUCAUAACAAAAAAGAUAAAAAAAUAACUGGUAAUAAAAGAAAUAGGAGUAUAAGUUCGGUAACGAAUGAAAAUACAAAAAAAAAUAAAAAACAUGAAGAAAAAAAAAAGAAAAAAAAAGAUGAUAGUGUUAUUAUUAUUGGUAAUUCUACAAAGGUUGGUGCGUUUAAUAAAAACAAAAAUAACAUUAAUAAUAAUAUUAAAAUUAGUACUAAUAGAGUUAGUAACAUUUAUAACAGUAUUAGUCAUAGUAGUCAGUACAGUAAAAGCAGUGAAUAUAGUAAUAAGAGUCAAUACAGUAACAGUAGUCAAUACAGUAGCAGUAAUCACUAUACUAAAAGCAGUCAAUAUAGUAAAAGCAGCCAAUAUAGUAAAAGCAGUCAAUAUAGUAAAAGUAGCCAAUAUAGUAAUAGUAGUAGUGAAAAAAAGAAGGUUUAAAAAAAAAAAAAAAAAAAAAGGCUCAGAUGAUGAAUCCGAUGAAGAAAUUGUACAUUUUAAAUGG
ensembl:lncRNA